CUUGCCAGGGGACUACGAGCCCCAGCUUAAAACCCAAAGGACUUGGCGGUGCUUUAGACCCACCUAGAGGAGCCUGUUCUAAAACCGAUAACCCCCGUUAAACCUCACCUUCUCUUGUUAUUCCCGCCUAUAUACCGCCGUCGUCAGCUUACCCUAUGAAGGCCCAAUAGUGAGCACAAUUGGCACAGCCCAAAACGCCAGGUCGAGGUGUAGCGCACGAGAAGGGAAGAAAUGGGCUACAUUCACUGCCCCAGUGAACACGAACAAUGCCCUGAAACAGACAUUCAAAGGAGGAUUUAGCAGUAAGGAGGGAAAAGAGUGCCCUCCUGAAACUGGCCCUGAAGCGCGCACACACCGCCCGUCACUCUCCCCUAAUAAAAACAAGCACAUAAAUAAUUAACAAACAUAAUAAAGGGGAGGCAAGUCGUAACAUGGUAAGUGUACCGGAAGGUGCACUUGGAAAAAU
rnacentral:rRNA from 1 species